rnacentral:rRNA from 1 species
CCUACGGGGGGCUGCAGUGGGGAAUAUUGGACAAUGGGGGGAACCCUGAUCCAGCCAUGCCGCGUGUGUGAAGAAGGCCCUCGGGUUGUAAAGCACUUUCAGUGAGGAAGAACGCCUGGUGGUUAAUACCCAUCAGGAAAGACAUCACUCACAGAAGAAGCACCGGCUAACUCCGUGCCAGCAGCCGCGGUAAUACGGAGGGUGCGAGCGUUAAUCGGAAUUACUAGGCGUAAAGCGCGCGUAGGUGGCUUGAUAAGCCGGUUGUGAAAGCCCCGGGCUCAACCUGGGAAUGGCAUCCGGAACUGUCAAGCUAGAGUGCAGGAGAGGAAGGUAGAAUUCCCGGUGUAGCGGUGAAAUGCGUAGAGAUCGGGAGGAAUACCAGUGGCGAAGGCGGCCUUCUGGACUGACACUGACACUGAGGUGCGAAAGCGUGGGUAGCAAACAGGAUUAGAUACCCGUGUAGUC